UCCUGUGUGGUAGAACUUCCAUGAUUUUUAUUUCCUAUUUGUCAGACUUUACAAAGGCAACGGUGUUUGGCUCUUGGUCCAUAGCCAAGGAGAGAAGAGAAGAUCAGGAGGGAUUUGUCUUGUCACAACUGCACCCCUGGGCACAGGCCAGGACAGCAUGGAGCUGCACUGACCUCAGAAGGGCAGACUAAGGCCAAACCAGCAUUUGAGGAGGAAAACAAUGCCCUUUCUCUUACUCCGCAAGCCGAACGCUGUGCAUUGCUGGCCUGAGAAUUACAAGUUGAAAGAGCUGCUUGAAAAUGACAUGCUGCCUUCUCUGCUCUACCUGCAAGUCAAGUCUAAAGGAGUGGUUCUUAAAGUACUCUCUGUGGACCCCUGGAAUCCUCAAGACCCUUUCACGUGAGUCUACAAGUUCAGUGCUAUUUUCCUGAUAAAACUAGAAUUUUAUUUACUUUUUUGC
rnacentral:lncRNA from 1 species